CAUUUAAAGAAAGCGUAAUAGCUCACUGGUCGAGUCGGCCUGCGCGGAAGAUGUAACGGGGCUAAACUAUGCACCGAAGCUGCGGCAGCGACACUUAGGUGUUGUUGGGUAGGGGAGCGUUCUGUAAGCCGUUGAAGGUGGCUCGUGAGGGUUGCUGGAGGUAUCAGAAGUGCGAAUGCUGACAUAAGUAACGAUAAAGCGGGUGAAAAGCCCGCUCGCCGGAAGACCAAGGGUUCCUGUCCAACGUUAAUCGGGGCAGGGUGAGUCGACCCCUAAGGCGAGGCCGAAAGGCGUAGUCGAUGGGAAACAGGUUAAUAUUCCUGUACUCGGUGUUACUGCGAAGGGGGGACGGAGAAGGCUAGGCUAUCCGGGCGACGGUUGUCCCGGUUUAAGCGUGUAGGGGGUGUGACUUGGUAAAUCCGGUCGCAUAUCAACCCUGAGGCGUGAUGACGAGUCACUACGGUGAUGAAGUAGUUGAUGCCAAGCUUCCAGGAAAAGCCUCUAAGCUCUAGGUAACAUUGAAUCGUACCCCAAACCGACACAGGUGGUCAGGUAGAGAAUACCAAGGCGCUUGAGAGAACUCGGGUGAAGGAACUAGGCAAAAUGGUGCCGUAACUUCGGGAGAAGGCACGCUGGCGCGUAGGUGAAGUCCCUUGCGGAUGGAGCUGAAGCCAGUCGAAGAUACCAGCUGGCUGCAACUGUUUAAUAAAAACACAGCACUGUGCAAACACGAAAGUGGACGUAUACGGUGUGACGCCUGCCCGGUGCCGGAAGGUUAAUUGAUGGGGUCAGCCGCAAGGCGAAGCUCUUGAUCGAAGCCCCAGUAAACGGCGGCCGUAACUAUAACGGUCCUAAGGUAGCGAAAUUCCUUGUCGGGUAAGUUCCGACCUGCACGAAUGGCGUAAUGAUGGCCAGGCUGUCUCCACCCGAGACUCAGUGAAAUUGAACUCGCUGUGAAGAUGCAGUGUACCCGCGGCAAGACGGAAAGACCCCGUGAACCUUUACUAUAGCUUGACACUGAACAUUGAGCCUUGAUGUGUAGGAUAGGUGGGAGGCUUUUAAGCGUGGACGCCAGUCUGCGUGGAGCCAACCUUGAAAU
rnacentral:rRNA from 1 species